CAGCCGUAAAGGAGGAGGAGGCCGUGACUGCUGCUGGAGCAACAACCGCCACCCCUUCCCGACGAGUCCCAGGAUUGCGGAGCAACCCAGGUUAAAAAUACUUCCUCAUGGCAAAACUGCAUCAAAAUCAACCCCCAGAUAUCCAAGAAACCUGUUGGAAAUAUAUAUUCUUACAAGCUGCAGGACAAGGUUCAUUAAGUAAAAUCGGAUGGUUGACUGGUAUGUUGGUGGUGGAGGGGGAGAUUAGAAACAAUCACAGAGCCUAUCAUUUGGAAGAAGACCUGAUACUGUGAAACUGUAUCCACUAUCCCAUUAUGCAUUUUAAAAGAGCAGUUGCUCUCUGCUUAAAGUUACAGAUGUCAGGAUUCUUUAUUUACACAAGCCGAGAAGUGAUGUGUAACUGUACUAAGUUCAUUGUCAGAGUGGAAAAUCAUUACAAAGGAAAGGAUUAAUAUUCCUUGGUAGUCAUCUAUCUUUGCAGUAACUGUAUUGAUUUAAUAGCAGCUUCAGUGUCCUCAAGUGGUAAUCAGAGACAAAUCUUCCAUAACAACCAAAACGGGUUGAAUCGAGGUUCUAUUUAAUUGGGCUCCUGCCCUUACACAGGUAACCUGAGGCUCGAAAUCCACAUGAGUUAAAAAUCUUUGCAGGCAGAUCACACUUCAGGUAAGAGUCUUGGUCUGCAAAAUUCAAUCUAUUGUGAAAAAUGUAUUCAUAUUUUAAAAAGAAUAUUGUCUUUAUGUUGAUUUCAAAAUACAUCUUUGUUUAAAUGGUGCAUAC